GAUGAACGCUGACAGAAUGCUUAACACAUGCAAGUCAACUUGAAGCAGUUUCGGCUGUGGAUGGUGGCGGACGGGUGAGUAACGCGUAAAUAACUUGCCCUUUAGACUGGGACAACUGUUGGACACGACAGCUAAUACCGGAUAUUAUGAAACCUUGGCAUCAAGGGAUUAGGAAAGCUAUAUGCGCUAGAGGUGAGAUUUGCGUCCUAUUAGCUAGUUGGUGAGGUAAUGGCUCACCAAGGGGACGAUAGGUAGCCGGCCUGAGAGGGUGAACGGCCACAAGGGGACUGAGACACGGCGCUUACUCCUACGUGAGGCAGCAGUGGGGAAUAUUGGACAAUGGACCAAGAGUCUGAUCCAGCAAUUCUGUGUGUUUGAUGAAGGCCUUCGGGUUGUAAAGAACUUUAAGUAGGGAAGAAGAAAGUGACGGUACCUACAGAAUAAGCGACGGCUAAAUACGUGCCAGCCGCCGCAGUAACAC
rnacentral:rRNA from 1 species